AGUCUGCACCGACAGCAGGCAGCCACAGAGCCAGGGACGAAGCCACAGAGGCCGGAGAGGACACGGGAGCAACACACUGCAGACAGAGAAGUCGGCGUGUGACUGCCGGUGGGCUGGAGAGAUACAUGCAGCAGGAGUGACUGAUGAAAGAAAGGGAGAGAGGAGGCGUCUUGAGAACUAUGGAGGAGUGAGGCUGUUUAUUACCAUACCGCUGGAUGCAGCCUUGGCCAGCUCUACAAAAAGAGGCUUGUCCCUGGCCCCCAAGUCCCUAGCGGCUGACGUGCUGUCGAACUGAAUUUUAUUCUUGGAUUAUUCAGUGAACAUUGUAUUAACCUAUUAUUUUUAACUAAACUCUUUGUAAAAACCUUA